GGAAUUGUUUGGCUCUCGCUCGGCAUCUGGCCGACUUGUUUAAUUAGUUUGGUUUGUUUUUUUUCUUUCAGAUCCAGAGAGAGAGGAAGCGCACCAAAGAGCAGCACAGGAGGGGAGCAGAGCGCCGUAAGGAGGUGCAAAGCUGGAUACGGACCCCGUAGGACACAGACACGGGAGGUGACUCGGGCCUGGUGGGGCGCAAGGACGGCAGCCCAAAACGACGGAGGCCAGGUGAGCAAGCGGCUGAGGUGCCGCAGGGAGCCUCGGAGGGGCGAAGCCGCGUGCCGACGAGCGUUCCGAGAAGGUG